rnacentral:rRNA from 1 species
AGAACGAACGCUGGCGGCAGGCUUAACACAUGCAAGUCGAACGGUUGUAGCAAUACAGCAGUGGCGCACGGGUGAGUAACGCGUGGGAACAUGCCCUUCAGUCGGGAAUAACAGCGGGAAACUGCUGCUAAUACCUGAUAUUCCCCCCGGGGGAAAGAUUUAUCGCUGAAGGAUUGGCCCGCGUCAGAUUAGCUAGUUGGUGAGGUAACGGCUCACCAAGGCUCCGAUCUGUAGCUGGUCUGAGAGGACGACCAGCCACACUGGAACUGAGACACGGUCCAGACUCCUACGGGAGGCAGCAGUGGGGAAUAUUGGACAAUGGGCGAAAGCCUGAUCCAGCCAUGCCGCGUGAGUGAUGAAGGCCUUAGGGUUGUAAAGCUCUUUGUCAGGGAAGAUAAUGACGGUACCUGAAGAAUAAGCACCGGCUAACUUCGCGCCAGCAGCCGC